rnacentral:rRNA from 1 species
UUGAACGCUGGCGGCAUGCCUUACACAUGCAAGUCGAACGGCAUCGCGGGAAAGCUUGCUUUCCUGGCGGCGAGUGGCGAACGGGUGAGUAACACAUCGGAACGUACCGGCUAGUGGGGAUAAACCCGUCGAAAGACGGGCUAAUACCGCAUACGCUCUUCGGAGGAAAAGCAGGGGACCUUUGGGCCUUGCGCUAGCCGAGCGGCCGAUGUCCGAUUAGCUAGUUGGUGGGGUAAAGGCCUACCAAGGCGACGAUCGGUAGCGGGUCUGAGAGGACGAUCCGCCACACUGGGACUGAGACACGGCCCAGACUCCUACGGGAGGCAGCAGUGGGGAAUCUUGGACAAUGGGGGCAACCCUGAUCCAGCAAUGCCGCGUGGGUGAAGAAGGCCUUCGGGUUGUAAAGCCCUUUCGGCAGGGAAGAAAUCGGCGGGGCGAAUAACCCUGCUGGAUGACGGUACCUGCAGAAGAAGCACCGGCUAACUACGUG